AAAGAUAAUUUCAUUUAAAUUGUCAAUUUAUUUUUUCUUUAAGUUUAUCUUAA
rnacentral:tRNA from 1 species